rnacentral:rRNA from 1 species
GACGAACGCUGGCGGCGUGCUUAACACAUGCAAGUCGAACGGAAAGGCCCUGCUUUUGUGGGGUGCUCGAGUGGCGAACGGGUGAGUAACACGUGAGUAACCUGCCCUUGACUUUGGGAUAACUUCAGGAAACUGGGGCUAAUACCGGAUAGGAGCUCCUGCUGCAUGGUGGGGGUUGGAAAGUUUCGGCGGUUGGGGAUGGACUCGCGGCUUAUCAGCUUGUUGGUGGGGUAGUGGCUUACCAAGGCUUUGACGGGUAGCCGGCCUGAGAGGGUGACCGGCCACAUGGGGACUGAGAUAGGGCCCAGACUCCUAGGGGAGGCAGCAGGGGGGAAUAUUGCACAAGGGGCGGAAGCCUGAUGCAGCAACGCCGCGUGCGGGAUGACGGCCUUCGGGUUGUAAACCGCUUUCGCCUGGGACGAAGGGUGAGUGACGGUAAGGGGUAAAGAAGCACCGGCUAACUACGUG